ACGGCCUAAAGAGUGGUUAAACUAUAUUAAAAUAAAUAGAAAUGAAAAUUAAUUUGACUGUCGCACGUAUUUAUUAAUCGUAAAAUCAUAAACGAAAGAUAUUCUAAUAAACAAAUUAUUUGAACCCACGAAAGCUAAGAAACAAACUAGGAUUAGAUACCCUACUAUGCUUAGCCUUAAACUUUGGAAACCCCGCCUGAGUACUACGAGCCACAGCUUAAAACUCAAAGGACUUGGCGGUGCUCUAUACCCCCCUAGAGGAGCCUGUUCUAUAAUUGAUAAUCCCCGCUAAACCUCGCCACUUAUUGCCAAUUCCGCCUAUAUACCGCCGUCGUCAGCCCACCAUUUAAAUGUGGAGUAGUAGGCAUAAUGAUAAACAUAAAAACGUCAGGUCAAGGUGUAGCGAAUUAAGUGGAAAGAAAUGGGCUACAUUUUCUACACAGAAAAUACGAAAAAUAUUAUGAAAAAAAAUUUAAAGGUGGAUUUAGCAGUAAAAAGAAAACAGAGUGUCCUUUUUAAAUAGGCCCUAGAGCGCGCACACACCGCCCGUUACCCUCCUCAAGAUAAACAAUAAUAACAUAAUAAUAUUAAUACAAAAGAAGAGGUAAGUCGUAACAUGGUAAGUUUACCGGAAGGUGUACUUGGAUUAU
rnacentral:rRNA from 1 species